CCCCAAAAAAUAGCAUAAGCAUUUUGAUGAGACCCAUGUAACAGUAAAAGACAUACCCACCAUUGUGAUAUCCCACAUAGAUAAAAUUACCUGUGCUGCUACACAAAGAAUAAUACAUCCAUCACUUUUCCUUAUAAAUUAAAUUGAAAUGUUUGUUAAAAUUAUCUUUUCAUCUCUUUCUCUCUCCUGUCACUGCCUGCUUCUUCUCCUUAUUAUUUUUGUUCUUGAAUCCCUGCCCGCCCAUACUGAACUCCUCCUGACAGAAAAAAAAAGUCAAGAGAUAAAUCUUUAAUCCAAUUCUGAGCGCACAGAGAUUUUUCUGAUCAGGCUUAUGUUUGGUGCAAGGUCCAAAUCCAUAGACGAAUCAUUUUCAUCUGCUGCUGAUGCUCAUCUGCCCUCCUGCUUAAGACCUGGUUCCAACUCCCUUUUAAAAACCUGUGAAAACACAAUACAGGAAAAUAAUACUGAUAUAAUCUUCUUCCAGCAUGCAGAUCAACUUUUCUUCACUCUUGUGAGUGAAUUACUUUCUGAACAUUUUAUUGCAAAUUGUUGAAAAGAUCUUGCUGACUGGAGCAAAUUCCAUGUAAUCAAGGAUAACUGCUAUACAAUGGCAAAUGAACACUUAUUGGAAGCUUGUGUACCCACGAUUCAAAAAAUGAACUACUGAGAUAUCAGUACAAAUAAAGACAAUAUUCAACUCGAUCUGCACACCAGCUUGUUCCUUUUAUGGGGCAGUCAACAUGCAUACAUCAACUGAAGAUGGUUGAAACAAAAUAGAAUUCAAGUGUCUAAAAUAGAAGUUAUAACCUAUGUUAGAGUUAUUAAUCAGUCUAUCUUUUAAACAAUAUGAAUAGAAAUAGUUAAUUUCAACUCAACUAUUUCAAAUCUGCUAAAAGGACAAGAAAUUUUAGGUCAUAUACUGGCAUAAUGACAAGGAAUUCCUGUUUCCCUCUUGGGUUUCCAUAAAACCUCUCAUCUUUCUCAGGCUUGGGUCUAUAAUCUGGUUGUCUUUAAUUGCUAUUUUCUCUUUAUGCUAUACCUGCUGGCUAAAUGAUACAUAUAGUAUCCAUAUUAUACUGAAUUAAAUAAAUACUUGCUUAUUUUCACAUUUCCAAACUGAAGUGUUUGGCUUGUGGCUGAAAAAUAUA